GCCGCUUUAGCUCAGUUGGUAGAGCAUCGCAUUCGUAAUGCGGGGGUCACGUGUUCGAGUCACGUAAGCGGCA
rnacentral:tRNA from 3 species